rnacentral:lncRNA from 10 species
GGGAAACAUAGGGAUAACUUUCUGUAUCCAUUCACAGUUGCUUUUGUUUUGAGACAGAAUCUCAGUCUGUCACCCAGGAUGGAGUGCAGUGGUGAGAUCUCAGCUUACUGCAGCCUUGACCUCCUGGGCUCAAGCGAUCCUCCUGCCUCACCCUCCCAAGUAGCUGGGACUACAGGCAUGUACCACCAUGCCAGGCUAAUAAUUUUUGAGUUUUUUUAUAGAAACAGGGUUUCAUCAUGUUUCCCAGGCUUGUCUCGAAUUCCUGGGCCAUUCAGGCUUUGUCCCAUAUUUUUCCUCUUUUUGUAAUUUUACUUCAGGACAAAAUUACAUCCCUUUCUUUAACAAAAACACUCUACAUUCUUUGCAUACUUUUCAUAUAAAAACACAUCCUAUCUUCCUCCCAUACUUUGUAUAGGAAAUUGUUUCCCUCAUUCUUAUUGUUUCUAGGAGUUUUGUUUUCAUAUAUUGAUUAUAAUUUUUAACCAUUAGUAACCGGUAUUUUUUUUUUAAAGAGACAGCGUCUUGCUCUUUUGCCCAGGCUGGAGUGCAGUGGCACAAUCAGGACUCACUGCACCCUUGAACUCCCGGGCUCAAGUAAUUCUCC